ACCAGGUGGGCUGUGAACUCAUACACCUACCUAUGCAAUAAAAAACAAAACAAAAAGUUUAGAGGAAUCACAAUUGCGAGAUAAGUACUUAAAAUGAGUUCACCAUAUUAUUUCAGAUGCCUUAAGGGGGAGUGCUGUAAUAUUUACCUUAUGGCUAGGAGUGUUGAGCGGUAUCUUCCUGUGUGUGACGUCAGGUGCGGCCGGGGGCGCGGGGGGCGGCGCCGGCACCUGCGGGGGAGAGCUCUCCUGAAACAAUUAUCAAGUUAUGCCUCAGAAAUGUUGUUCUAAUGCUUGUCGAGAUAGGAUUAUAACUAAUGAUACAAAAUGAAAGCUGCCGAAUUCAGACAUGACGCCGAAUUCACAAUGACAGUGGGGAUGCCAAACGAUAGCAAAAACAGAAUAUGCCCAUCUCACCUGUCCCGGAGGUCUGAUCGGUAUCCUCUCGUGUCCCGGCCCCAGGGAGGGGGGAGGUAUGGGCCUCCUGUUAAGAUAAUUGUUCCCGUCUGUAUUCGUGCCUGAAAUCAAAUAAAACACUUAUAAGAAUUCAUAACUUAGUAUGUCAGAAAACGUAAUGGAGAUAGGUUGUUGUAAUUUCAAAUAAAAUCGCUGACGUCACCAUCAUCUCAUGCACUCCAACGCAAUCUAUUAAUGAUAUAGAAAAUCAUACUAUUUGUGAGAACAAUAUAUAUUCUUCCAGAGUUUCUUCCAAAUUAAGCGUAACUGUUUUUUAAAAGCUUUAAUGUUAAUUUUUUAUAAGCUAGAUAGGAUUACCUUUGUACCACGUUUUCAUAAAAAUUAAUUAAUAUAAUAUCCACAGGCGUUCA